rnacentral:rRNA from 1 species
AUUGAACGCUGGCGGCAGGCCUAACACAUGCAAGUCGAACGGUAACAGGAAGCAGCUUGCUGCUUUGCUGACGAGUGGCGGACGGGUGAGUAAUGUCUGGGAAACUGCCCGAUGGAGGGGGAUAACUACUGGAAACGGUAGCUAAUACCGCAUAACGUCGCAAGACCAAAGAGGGGGACCUUAGGGCCUCUUGCCAUCGGAUGUGCCCAGAUGGGAUUAGCUAGUAGGUGGGGUAACGGCUCACCUAGGCGACGAUCCCUUGCUGGUCUGAGAGGAUGACCAGCCACACUGGAACUGAGACACGGUCCAGACUCCUACGGGAGGCAGCAGUGGGGAAUAUUGCACAAUGGGCGCAAGCCUGAUGCAGCCAUGCCGCGUGUAUGAAGAAGGCCUUCGGGUUGUAAAGUACUUUCAGCGGGGAGGAAGGGAGUAAAGUUAAUACCUUUGCUCAUUGACGUUACCCGCAGAAGAAGCACCGGCUAACUCCGUG